CAUAAUCAAGAACGAAAGUAAACAGAAAUAGUAUUUAAGAUGACAAGAAGAAGUUUGGCUAAUUCUUUAGAUUAAAUAUGGAUUGAAAAAGAAGCAAUAAUAACAUCUGCAUAAGCGUCCAAGCACUGCUCUUAAUAUAGUCUGAGAUUACUCUGACGUCCAACGGCUGUUUUGCCAGACAAGGUGGGGUCAGAGCUCGUCCCAUAUCAAAAAGUGGAUAUUUGCCCAUCCAAAAUAGAUGCGCUGCUUCGUCGAUUCUGGUGCCGACUAACGGCCUUAAGAUUAUAUAAAUCAGUAGCUAUAUAGAAAUUGAAAUGAAUGAUUGCGAAUCAAGGAUCACUUACGAGUUUCAAUUCUACUUACUUUGCAAGAAUAGGGUGUGCUGCACAACAGUUAUUGCCAAAUAUUUUACAGGAAUUGCUUCUUAUCAAAGAACAACCAUCUUUGUUACAAGUUGAUGUUCAUAACAAUACAUUCUAGAAACAACAUUACGACCUGAUCAAUUUUUACUGAUAAAUAGUGUUACAACCAACGGGUAUGCAUAUUUCGAUAUACCCUUGAGUUAUAAAAUUAUUCGGAACCUUAACCUUAAUCAUUUAAAAUCUUA